UACAGGGGGGGCAAGCGUUGUUCGGAAUUACUGGGCGUAAAGGGCUCGUAGGCGGCCAACUAAGUCACACGUGAAAUCCCCAGGCUUAACCUGGGAACUGCGUGUGAUACUGGAUGGCUUGAAUCCGGGAGAGGGAUGCAGAAUUCCAGGUGUAGCGGUGAAAUGCGUAGAUAUCGGGAGGAACACCUGUGGCGAAAGCGGCGCACUGGACCACAACUGACGCUGAGGCGCGAAAGCUAGGGGAGCAAACAGG
rnacentral:rRNA from 1 species